GAUGAAGAACGCAGCGAAAUGCGAUAAGUAAUGUGAAUUGCAGAAUUCAGUGAAUCAUCGAAUCUUUGAACGCACAUUGCGCCCCUUGGUAUUCCGAGGGGCAUGCCUGUUCGAGCGUCAUUAUAACCCCUCAAGCUCAGCUUGGUGUUGGGGCCUGCUGCACUGGCAGCCCUUAAAAUCAGUGGCGGCGCCGUCUGGCUCUAAGCGUAGUAAUUCUUCUCGCUAUGGAGUCCUGGUGGAUGCUUGCCAUCAACCCCCAAUUUUUCUAUGGUUGACCUCGGAUCAGGUAGGGAUACCCGCUGAACUUAAGCAUAUCAAUAAGCGGAGGA
rnacentral:misc_RNA from 1 species